AGCUUUGCACAGUGGCAGUAUCGGAACCAAUGAGGUUUACCUGAGACAAGAUUUUUACUAACUGAAAACAUUUCCCAGUACACUGGCAUGGUGACUUGAAAUAUAGUUGGCAUUGGCAAUUUUUGACAGUCUCUAUGGAGA